UACGAAGGGGCUAGCGUUGCUCGGAAUUACUGGGCGUAAAGCGCACGUAGGCGGCUUCUAAGUCGGGGUGAAUCCUGGAGCUCAACUCCAGAACUGCCUUCGAUACUGGAAAGCUCGAGUCCGGGAGAGGUGAGUGGAACUGCGAGUGUAGAGGUGAAAUUCGUAGAUAUUCGCAAGAACACCAGUGGCGAAGGCGGCUCACUGGCCCGGUACUGACGCUGAGGUGCGAAAGCGUGGGGAGCAAACAGG
rnacentral:rRNA from 1 species